AAAUAAGAGUUCAGGGUUAGCAGUCAAAAUAAAAGUGUAGAAUCAGAAUCAGAAUCCGCUUUAAUGGCCACACAACAUACAAGGGGUUUGGUUUCGGCUGUUGGUGUCAGCCUAGGAAUAAGGAAAGAGUAUAAUAAAAAAUAAAGAAAUUGUUAGAAGAAUUAUACUUAGGUUCAUUGUGGUUAUCAUUGAAUGACGGUAAAGGUAUCUCUAUGCAUAUGUAAGCACUUCUUGUUGAGAAGUACAUGUACAUUUUAACUGUAAUCUGUAUGUACUCACAGUAGAGAACAGGGUUAACGUGUUCCAUAUGAUAAGAUAAUGCAAGUGACACUUUCUCUGACACUUUCUCUGUUAAACAUAUCUUAUGCUGACGUAUGAUGCCGCCCCAUGUUACAUGACUGUUUGAAACUAAAUAAAAGACGCAGAGGAGAUACAGACUCUUCGGAGAAGGAAGGCUGCAGCAGCGGUGCGUGCAGUCUCUGUCUCCCCUUGCGGCAAGUAAAAGAUCUGAGCUCUGGGUGAUGUCUGUCCCUCCCUGGUGGUGCUGCCCCCCUCCAGAGAGGAGCUGCAGCAGGGGAAGGCCACGCUCAUGUGCCUGGCCAACAAAGGCUUCCUCUCAGACUGGAGUCUGUCCUGGAAGGUGGACGGCAGCGGCAGCGGCAGCGGCAGCGGCAGCGGCAGCGGCAGCGGCAGCGGCAGCGGCAGCGGCAGCGGCAGCGGCAGCGGCAGCGGCAGCGGCAGCGGCAGCGGCAGCGGCAGCGGCAGCGGCAGCCGCCCCGGGGUGCUGCAGGAGGACCGGCCUCUACAGCUGGAGCAGCACCCUGAGGAUCCCUGCAGACCAGUGGAGGAAGGUGGUCUCUGUGAGCUGUGAGGCCACCCAGGGCUCCCAGACUCCACUCUCAGAGACACUGAGGAGAGACCAGUGUUCCCAGUCCUGACCUCACCCACUGGGAAUGUCUCACUGGUUCCACUCUGCUGAUUUCUUCUUUAUUUGACGUGUUUCAGCAACAAUAUUUAGCAGCUUGUUGCAGUGUUUCAACAUUAUUUCAGUGCUUCUAAAUGAAAACAUUUUUCUCUCUGCUGCAGUCAUCAACUCUCUCUCUCUUUGUUUUUCUCUUCUUAUAGUGAUCAUGUUUUUCUGUUUUUGCAAUUUUGAUUAUUUCAAUAAAAACCAACU